GGUGACUUCCGGUUUAUUUCCGCAUUCCUAGUUAUCGAUACGAGUGAAAGGAAGAGCAUAAUUGGCAAAAUAGAUUGAUAGGAGCUGAUGUUGAGAAUCCAUCAGCUUGAGACUCGUGUGAAGGUGCUUCAGAGAGCCAGCAAAGAAGAGAACCCUGUAGCUCCACCUAUGCCCCGCAUGACUAUGAAGAGGAAAAAGAAGUUUCGUCCCAGUGACUUCCACAAGUACACCAUGUAGCCCUGACGAUCAUGUACCUCGGCCACGACUACACAGGAUAUGCUGGCACAGAGGAAGUGGAAAACACUAAGUGAACUGUUCCAGGCCCUUAUAAAGUGCAAGCUUAUUGAGUCCAAG